AUUUGAUGGUGAGGGCACUUAGCAAGUAACCCUUGAAACCUUGUCCAAUAUUUAUAAAAGGAUUCAUCAGCACCUUGUUCAAUCCCAUAAAUUUAUCUCCUUAAAUU